rnacentral:rRNA from 1 species
UUUAUGGAGAGUUUGAUCCUGGCUCAGGAUGAACGCUGGCGGCGUGCCUAAUACAUGCAAGUCGAGCGAACGGACGAGAAGCUUGCUUCUCUGAUGUUAGCGGCGGACGGGUGAGUAACACGUGGAUAACCUACCUAUAAGACUGGGAUAACUUCGGGAAACCGGAGCUAAUACCGGAUAAUAUUUUGAACCGCAUGGUUCAUAAGUGAAAGACGGUCUU